rnacentral:rRNA from 1 species
AACGGGUGAGUAACACGUGGGCGACCUACCUCAGAGUGGGGGAUAACCUUCCGAAAGGAGGGCUAAUACCGCAUGACAUCCCGUGUUUGGAUACACGGAGAUCAAAGCCGGGGAUCGCAAGACCUGGCGCUUGGAGAGGGGCCCGCGUCCGAUUAGCUAGUUGGUGAGGUAACGGCUCACCAAGGCUCCGAUCGGUAUCCGGCCUGAGAGGGCGGACGGACACACUGGAACUGAGACACGGUCCAGACUCC